rnacentral:rRNA from 1 species
GAUGAACGCUGGCGGCGUGCCUAAUACAUGCAAGUCGAGCGAACAGACGAGGAGCUUGCUCCUCUGACGUUAGCGGCGGACGGGUGAGUAACACGUGGAUAACCUACCUAUAAGACUGGGAUAACUUCGGGAAACCGGAGCUAAUACCGGAUAAUCUAUUGAACCGCAUGGUUCAUUAGUGAAAGACGGUUUUGCUGUCACUUAUAGAUGGAUCCGCUCCGCAUUAGCUAGUUGGUAAGGUAACGGCUUACCAAGGCAACGAUGCGUAGCCGACCUGAAAGGGGGAACGGCCACACUGGAACGGAGACACGGUCCAGACGCCUACGGGAGGCAGCAGUAGGGAAGCUUCCGCAAUGGGCGAAAGCCUGACGGAGCAACGCCGCGUGAGAGAAGAAGGUCUUCGGAUCGUAAAACUCUGUUAUUAGGGAAGAACAAAUGUGUAAGUAACUAUGCACGUCUUGACGGUACCUAAUAAGAAAGCCACGGCUAACUACGUG